UACGUAGGGUGCAAGCGUUGUCCGGAUUUAUUGGGCGUAAAGAGCUCGUAGGCGGUUUGUCGCGUCGGAUGUGAAAACCCAGGGCUCAACCCUGGGCCUGCAUUCGAUACGGGCAGGCUAGAGUAUGGCAGGGGAGACUGGAAUUCCUGGUGUAGCGGUGAAAUGCGCAGAUAUCAGGAGGAACACCGGUGGCGAAGGCGGGUCUCUGGGCCAAAACUGACGCUGAGGAGCGAAAGCGUGGGGAGCGAACAGG
rnacentral:rRNA from 1 species